AUGGUUAAAGGGAAAAAUACCACAACUCUGCAUGAUACACCUGCAGAAAAUUUGCACUGUGUACAUCCCUAAAUCAAAGGGCAAGAAGAAGAAGUGGUGCCAUUCUGAACACUCCUAUAUGGUCAGGCUGACAAAACGAGAGAAGAAAACAAACAAAAAGAUAGUACCUUUCAGAAAGAUCAUCUGAUUUGCUGGAAAAGAAAGUGGUGACGUCCCGCCAUCCCUUACUGCCUACCCCCUGAACCUGGAAAAAAAGAAUAAAGUUAUUUCACACUUAAUGAAUUACCUCGUACUUGGACUGAGCUCACCCAUUUGUUUUAAUAAAGACUGCUACCCAAAAUCCAUAAUGCACCACUGUCAAAACCUAAUGGCCCCCUCCCCACAGGGAGUCCCGUGGGAAGGCAGAACAGCACUGUAUAUGGCUAAUGCUGUUGCAAGCAUCACAAAUCAUUUUGGGGAGGGUCAAAGGUGUGUGAGUGGAGAGUGGACAUUUCCUUUGCAGAAUACGAGAGGCCAGGGGUGGGGAGGAAGAAGAGCAGAUAACAGGUUAACUCAACACUUCGGCUAGCUCCGUGUGAAGAUAAGAUGCUGGCCCCAGCCCAAGGUCAUGGGCUCGACAAGAAAUCAGCAGCUGCCCAGCCGUGAGAAGAGGAGAACUAAGUUGAGCAGAGCUGCAGAGAUAGCAGCGAGAACAGUGAGAGCAAAUGAGACAGCGACAGCAAAGGCCAAUAGAAGGGAAAAAAAAGUCUCUGGAGCCGGGAUGUUUUGGGAAACCGAGGAGGCCACAGCAAGCCAGUCUGGACUGGCACAAAGAGCACCAGAAGCAGAGGUCCCCGAGAGGAAUACCCCCCAAGGAGCCCAGGACUUAAAACCCUCCUGAGAGCUGCAGCAACUUGGAGAGCAACAGCAGACUUGGACGGCCUGGGCCCAGGACAGCACUCUCAUCCAUCCAUCCUUCCCCCCGCCUCUUUUUCUGAUGUUACACCCAGGUCUGGCCAGUCUUGGGUAGUGCUUGUGUGAGCAUGAAAGUGGGUUAGAGCUUGGGGCAUUAACGCUUUCUUUCUUCCCUUAAGUGACAUGCAAGCAUUCCCAGCACUCUGUUAUUAUUUCAAUCAAUAAAGCUUUAAAACUUAGA